UACAGAGGGUGCGAGCGUUAAUCGGAAUUACUGGGCGUAAAGCGCACGUAGGUGGUUUGGUAAGUCGGAUGUGAAAUCCCCGGGCUUAACCUGGGAAUGGCAUUCGAUACUGUCAAACUAGAGUCUGGUAGAGGGUGGUGGAAUUCCAGGUGUAGCGGUGAAAUGCGUAGAUAUCUGGAGGAACAUCAGUGGCGAAGGCGGCCACCUGGACUGAGACUGACACUGAGGUGCGAAAGCGUGGGUAGCAAAC
rnacentral:rRNA from 1 species